rnacentral:rRNA from 1 species
GUGUCAGCCGCCGCGGUAAUACGUAGGGGGCGAGCGUUACCCGGAAUUACUGGGCGUAAAGGGUGCGUAGGCGGCCUUGCAAGUCCGGUGUUAAAAGCCCUGGCUCAACUAGGGAGAUGCGCUGGAAACUGUAAGGCUUGGGUGCAGCAGAGGCAGAUGGAACUGCUGGUGUAGGGGUGAAAUCCGUAGAUAUCAGCAGGAACGCCGGUGGAGAAGUCGGUCUGCUGGGCUGUGACCGACGCUGAGGCACGAAAGCUAGGGGAGCGAACCGGAUUAGAUACCCGGUUAGUCCUAGCCGUAAACGAUGCUCACUUGGUGUGGGGGCAUAGAGCCUCUGUGCUGAAGCGAACGCGUUAAGUGAGCCGCCUGGGGAGUAUGCCCGCAAGGGUGAAACUUAAAGGAAUUGGCGG